CCUACGGGAGGCAGCAGUGAGGAAUAUUGGUCAAUGGACGAAAGUCUGAACCAGCCAUGCCGCGUGCAGGAAGACGGCUCUAUGAGUUGUAAACUGCUUUUGUACGGGGGUAAACGCAGAUACGCGUAUCUGUCUGAAAGUAUCGUACGAAUAAGGAUCGGCUAACUCCGUGCCAGCAGCCGCGGUAAUACGGAGGAUUCAAGCGUUAUCCGGAUUUAUUGGGUUUAAAGGGUGCGUAGGCGGUCGGAUAAGUUAGAGGUGAAAUCCCGAGGCUCAACUUCGGAAUUGCCUCUGAUACUGUUCGUCUAGAGAAUAGUUGCGGUAGGCGGAAUGUAUGGUGUAGCGGUGAAAUGCUUAGAGAUCAUACAGAACACCGAUUGCGAAGGCAGCUUACCAAGCUACUUCUGACGUUGAGGCACGAAAGCGUGGGGAGCAAACAGGAUUAGAUACCCCAGUAGUC
rnacentral:rRNA from 1 species